CAAUAGCGUAUAUUUAAGUUGUUGCAGUUAAAAAGCUCGUAGUUGGAUUUCGGGUGGGACGCAGCGGUCUCGCAUUGCGUUUGUACUGCUGCAGCCCUCCUUCUUGCCGGGGGCGGCCUCUCGGACUUCACUGUCUGGGGGUCAGAAUCGGCGAUGUUACUUUGAGUAAAUUAGAGUGUUCAAAGCAAGCUUACGCUCUGAAUAUAAUAGCAUGGGAUAACACGACAGGACUCUGGCCUAUCGUGUUGGUCUAUAGGACCAGAGUAAUGAUUAAGAGGGACAGUCGGGGGCAUUCGUAUUCCGUUGUCAGAGGUGAAAUUCUUGGAUUUACGGAAGACGAACAUCUGCGAAAGCAUUUGUCAAGGAUGUUUUCAUUA
rnacentral:rRNA from 1 species